rnacentral:rRNA from 1 species
UACGUAGGGGCCGAGCGUUGUCCGGAGUUACUGGGCGUAAAGCGCGCGUAGGCGGCUUUGUAAGUUAGAGGUGAAAGCCCGGAGCUCAACUCCGGAACUGCCUUUAAAACUGCAUCGCUUGAAUCCAGGAGAGGUGAGUGGAAUUCCGAGUGUAGAGGUGAAAUUCGUAGAUAUUCGCAAGAACACCAGUGGCGAAGGCGGCUCACUGGCCCGAUACUGACGCUGAGGCACGAAAGCGUGGGGAGCAAACAGG